rnacentral:lncRNA from 1 species
GGUCAAGACUAAUUUUCUCUUUGGAUUUGGUCCUCCCAAGUCACUGAUUUAGAAACAGACUAUAACAUAGUCUUGUCCUAAAUGUAUUGGAUAAGGAUCGCCUAAGGUAAUGUUGACCGUUCAUUCUAGAAUCAAGGUCAACAUUAUCUAAUCUCUGCAUUAGUGUCCUUUGAGAUAGUUGUUUGAGAUAAAGUUUGAAGGGACCCAAAACCCUAAUUCGCCACUAUAUAAAGGUUAACUUGUGCUCUCUACCUAUGUCCAAACAAUUCUAUUCUAACAACCACACACAUUCAUUGCAGUUUUACUCGAUCGUUAGAGUGUAUGCCCCCCCCCCCACACACACACACACACACACACACACAUCCAUAAAGGAAAGAUUUGUUUUCAAGUCUGUCAAUCUGAACACAUCCACAGUCAUUGGUGAUGAAAUUGGCAAGUGCAACAAAUCAUACGCAAGUAAUAAAGUAGUAAGUUAUGUCUCCACUGAGAUUGUCGUUAAAAUCAGUAAUUAGUGGAAUUUAUUAGAAAUAAAAUAAUUUAAUAAGAGAUGAAGUUCGUUUGCAGGGUUUUACAUGUCCUUCUCAAUGCGAGAUUAGGUUUUGUGAUUCAUAAUUAUAAUGACGAUUAGGGAAUCCUUGAAUCCCCCCUUCCAUCUUUCUUGGAAUUAAUUUGGUUGAUUGUUAGUUUAUGACCUGUCUUUCGAAUUAAGAACGGAGGACAUGGCCUUGUGAUGUAUCAAUAGAAUUUUUAGUUUCAUAUCGCCGCAAUUCAACCAGUUACAAUUGUGAUGUUCCCUUAAGAUGAGUCAUAGCCCUAAAUUCAUACUUAGAUUCAAUGAAAAGAAUUUUAUUUUGAAAAUAAGCAAUUUACUACUGUCUGGUUUGGACAAAUUUAGGGUUGUCUAUCCUAAUAUUCUCCAUCUAAGAUAUGGUAUAGAAACGGACAUAUACAAAUUAAAUCAGACACUUGAAUCAUAAACUGAAUAAAAAAAUUAUUAAUUGAAUCCCAAAAAUAAGAAGAGGUUCAUCAUGGAACCUUGAUCAAAGAGGUUUAGUUGCACAUGGCAACUGACAUCAUUACCAAACAAUAGAAAAAAAAAUUCCCUAGAGAGAACAAGAGGAAGAUGGAGAUCCUUUGCCUUGAAGCUCUUAUGCUUGACCCUUGCAUUGUGCCGCUAGCUUUCUGAAUGAAUAAAUGAAUGUACAAGGGUCUCUAUUUAUAGUUCAUCAUUACUUAGGGGUUCGGAGAAGAAAACUAGGCUUUUUCCACCGAUUCAUCUUGAAAAAUAAGCAAACAAUAGUUCUUCCCACAAGCCACGUGUGGGGUGCAUGAUACAACAUUCAGGGGUGUAUUAGGUAUAUUCUGUCUUGAAAUGCCUUGGAACUUAAAAUGAAUAUUCUUUAACUUAUAUUGUCUUCAAAGACCUUCGAUGAACCAUUGAUCUUCAAUCUUCAUAUCCUUGAUACUUCAUGUGAUGUCUUGUUUCGACGAUUUACAAGAUUUCUCACUAACAAGACCCAAAACUCAUAUGAAGUUGUAUGAUUUAGGAUAAAACUGAAUUACAACGACUCAAAUGAAAAUAAUACAAAAUGUUCCUCAAACCAUUGACAACUCCUCUAAAUGACCUCUUAUUUUCCUUCAAAUGCAAAUAAAAUAAAUAAAAAUAUAGUCAAAAAUAUCAUAUGAUAUCCCAUCAUCAGUCAUGCUCAGGUCGUACCUCUCUAGUCCCAUUGGACUAUUUGGCAUCGUCUGUGGGAAACUUUCCUAUGUUUCAUCACCAAAUAUUUCAUGAUAUCUAAUGGUCAACACUCGAUUUCUAGUAAUAAUCAGCUCUUUUGUUGGCAACACCUAGCCCCAUUAGAUUGACAAAAGAACAAUUUUGUCAUCACCUCCAAACUAAAAUUGAAACUAACCCCGUGAUGGAUCCAUGACGAUUCUACCUUCACAUUUGAUCCCAGACAUAGUGUCCUAUAACCUAGAUAACCAAUAGACUCCUCCCUUUAAAGGAGGCUACCAAACUAACAAUCUCAUCUGAUACAUUCUAGAUGCAAUUCAACAAUCAUCAAAGAUAAUUGUAGCCCAAGGUAAGUGACAGGUCUGCGCUAAGAACAGGAAGAUGCAUAUCCCCCACUAAUAAGGUUAAUUAGAAAUCGCACGCACACCAAAAACACACUAGAACAUGGACCGUUGGCGAAAAGACACGACAUUUUUUGUCCCCGAAAGAUUUAAAGUCUAAGACCCCCAUCAUCGUCCACCGUCCUAGUCCCCUCAACGCCAUAAUGUUAAAUACUAUAUGAAACCUCCAACCCUCCCUCCCCUCGCUCCUAUGGGGCAUGGAGUUUGUUGUAAUGAUGAAAAUUCUCCAUUGAGACGUUCCUAUUGCAGGUCAUUAUCUUAUGAGAUUUCCUCGUAUGAAGAUGAUCUCCCUUAGAAGAAUUUAUUUCACCGCGAUAAUCAAUGAUUACCUGGUGCCUAGAUAUCUUCAGAAGUUCUUCCCACUGUAAUUAUACAAUGGAAUAACAGGCCCAUACAACAAUUUUGAAACGGUUAACAUGUUGUCAUUUUGCAAUGCCUAGGGUCCAUUGAAGUGCAAGUUUUUCUUAUUGACAAUAAGAGAGUGUACAAUGGCUUGGUUCAAAGGCUUAAGACCAUUAUCUAGUAAUUUUUGGUUGAAAUUUGUACACGUUUCACGACCCGCCUCACCACCUCCUAAAGGCAACCCAAGUCAGCGGAAAACCUUACAACAAUAUGUUAGAAGAAAUAUGAAACCUUGAGAGCAUACAUUGAGAGAUUAAACAAAAAAAAAGUACAAGUGAGUAAUGUUGAUGAAAUGAUGAAGACCUAUCUUUUGAGACAAACAUUCUUGAUGGGAAACAACUGCCCAAAGAUUAUUGCCCUCAAUAAGAAAGAAGUCGUGACGAGCGGCAAAGCCCAAGUCUUGAUUAUCAACUGCUUGUGUAUGUAUAAUUGUUUGGCGGGACGCCCACAUUAGUCAGACUUUGUGUCGUCUCAUCAGCCGUGCAUCUCAUUUGACUUCGAAAUAAUUGUAUCAUGAUAUUUAAGAUAAGACAUACUUUUGAAAAAGAGUUUAGUCUUGAAGAGUGAGAGACUAAGAACUUAUAUUGUUUUUCAAUCCACUUUCCUCCAUUUUCAUUAUCCUCGGAUCAAUUUUUUUAAAACAAGCAUCGUACAAUUAGAGUUAUGCACUAAGAAGUUUAUAGUUUAAAUUCUAAUUAUUUAGAAAAUUAAAUACUCUC